rnacentral:rRNA from 1 species
CCUACGGGAGGCAGCAGUGGGGAAUAUUGCGCAAUGGGCGAAAGCCUGACGCAGCGACGCCGCGUGAGGGAUGAAGGUCUUCGGAUCGUAAACCUCUGUCAGCAGGGAAGAACGGUCACUGUGCUAAUCAGCAGUAAAUUCACGGUACCUGCAAAGGAAGCACCGGCUAACUCCGUGCCAGCAGCCGCGGUUAUACGGAGGGUGCGAGCGUUAAUCGGAAUUACUGGGCGUAAAGCGGUCGUUGGAGGGAGGUCAAGUCAAGGGUGAAAUGCCCGCGCGCAACGUGGGAAACGCCUUUGAAAACGGCAAACCGGAGUGUGUGAGAGGAUAGUGGAAAUCCAGGGGGAGGCGUGAAAACCG